AAUAAAAAGUUUCUAAAUUGGAGGAGAAUCUAUGGCUUGCAAAUGUAUUAGAAAACUUAUGGUAGUGGUGAUAGAGUUUCUUAUCCUCAUUCUCCUAAAAGUGCAAGCUAACAACCAUAGCCAUAUCUCUUUCACUCCAUUUUCAUCUCCCAUCCAGUGUCCUCAUUUCUCCAAACUUAAUACUGUUCAAACUAAUAAUCUUGGCCCUCCCUUUAUUUGUCCAUCUCCAAUGCCCAUCAUGUAUCCUCACUCCUUUGACCUUGACGAAGUUCACGGACAGAUGCAUAAAUGUGUUGUAAAUACAAUUAGAGCUUGUGAGAAAACUUGGCCAGAAAAGGGAUUUAAAUUUAAAUUUUGUCUUCGUGCCAGUUUCAGAAAUUGUCGUAUUGUUCUUGGCCUAGAUAAGAGCGUGGUUAAAUGGUUUUGGGCGUGCCUGAUCGAAUGCGUAAGGCGUAAAAUAAACGAAGUUGAAUCCUGUUACUUAUCAUGUGCUAGACAUCCAUAAACGAGGCACUCAAAUGUCGUACGUCUAUGUGCGGAAUCCUUAGCAUAAGAUUCGUAUGGAGGCUUCCCUGGAAAUGUGUGAGAGCAAGAUUUGUAAUGGCAGUGCUCAAUUGGCCAUCCUUUCAAAUAAUAUUGUUUUGAGUUGUUGAAUAAUAUCAAUUAGGGACGAUGUACUACCUGAUGUGAUAUAGUUGUGUUUUAUAGUUUUGCUGGACCUAUGGUUGGUUUUUAUUACUAAACCCUAUGCAAUAGAUGUAAUAUUAUAUUUAAUGGAAAAUUGCUAAAUUAGCCGA